rnacentral:rRNA from 1 species
CCUACGGGUGGCAGCAGUAGGGAAUAUUGCUCAAUGGGGGAAACCCUGAAGCAGCAACGCAGCGUGGAGGAUGAAGGUUUUCGGAGUGUAAACUCCUUUUGUUAGAGAAGAUAAUGACGGUAUCUAAAGAAUAAGCACCGGCUAACUCCGUGCCAGCAGCCGCGGUAAUACGGAGGGUGGAAGCGUUACUCGGAAUCACUGGGCGUAAAGAGCGCGUAGGGGGGAUAGCAAGUCAGAUGUGAAAUCCUAUGGCUUAACCAUAGAACUGCAGUUGAAACUGUUAUUCUAGAGUAUGGGAGAGGUAGGUGGAAUUCUUGGUGUAGGGGUAAAAUACUUAGAGAUCAAGAGGAACACUCAUUGCGAAGGCGACCUGCUAGACCAUAACUGACGCUGAUGCGCGAAAGCGUGGGGAGCAAACAGGAUUAGAUACCCGGGUAGUC